rnacentral:rRNA from 1 species
AACGAACGCUGGCGGCAUGCCUAACACAUGCAAGUCGAACGAGACCUUCGGGUCUAGUGGCGCACGGGUGCGUAACGCGUGGGAACCUGCCCUUAGGUUCGGAAUAACUCCCCGAAAGGGGUGCUAAUACCGGAUAAUGUCUUCGGACCAAAGAUUUAUCGCCUUUGGAUGGGCCCGCGUUGGAUUGGCUAGUUGGUAGGGUAAAAGCCUACCAAGGCGACGAUCCAUAGCUGGUCUGAGAGGAUGAUCAGCCACACUGGGACUGAGACACGGCCCAGACUCCUACGGGAGGCAGCAGUGGGGAAUAUUGGACAAUGGGCGAAAGCCUGAUCCAGCAAUGCCGCGUGAGUGAUGAAGGCCUUAGGGUUGUAAAGCUCUUUUACCCGGGAUGAUAAUGACAGUACCGGGAGAAUAAGCUCCGGCUAACUCCGCG